GCUGGGCAUGGUAGCGUGUGCCUGUAGUCCCAGCUACUCUGGAGGCUGAAACAGGAGGAUUGCCUGAGUCCAGGAGUUCAAGGCUGCAGUGAGCCAUGAUUGAGUCACUGCACUCUAGCCUGGGUGACAGAGUGAGACCAUGUCUCUU
ensembl:misc_RNA Metazoa_SRP Metazoan signal recognition particle RNA